rnacentral:lncRNA from 1 species
CAGAAGAGUGUGAUAGUACCAGACUUUUAGAUAUACAUUACACUGGUCGAUCAGAAAGUUGAAGGAGGAUGGGUCCCUAAGCACACUUGUGGAUGUGUUAUGGAAGCCUACGUUCAGUCACCCUGAAUUUCUUUUUCUGAGACAUCUUGAGCAGAGCCUGACUGAAUUGCUGACCUGAGAAACAGGGACGCCUCCAAGCAGACAGAAGGAACAGAAGGCAGAG